GACCGCGUGGCCUAAUGGAUAAGGCGUCUGAUUCCAAAUUAGAAGAUUGAGGUUUCGAGCCCCUUCGUGGUCG
rfam:Nematostella vectensis strain CH2 x CH6 NEMVEscaffold_667_Cont31493, whole genome shotgun sequence.